GAUGAACGCUGGCGGCGUGCUUAACACAUGCAAGUCGAACGAUGAAGCUCAGCUUGCUGGGUGGGUUAGUGGCGAACGGGUGAGUAACACGUGAGUAACCUGCCCUUAACUCUGGGAUAAGCCUGGGAAACUAGGUCUAAUACCGGAUAGGAGCGCCUACCGCAUGGUGGGUGUUGGAAAGAUUUAUCGGUUUUGGAUGGACUCGCGGCCUAUCAGCUUGUUGGUGAGGUAAUGGCUCACCAAGGCGACGACGGGUAGCCGGCCUGAGAGGGUGACCGGCCACACUGGGACUGAGAGACGGCCCAGACUCCUACGGGAGGCAGCAGUGGGGAAUAUUGCACAAUGGGCGAAAGCCUGAUGCAGCGACGCCGCGUGAGGGAUGACGGCCUUCGGGUUGUAAACCUCUUUCAGUAGGGAAGAAGCGAAAGUGACGGUACCUGCAGAAGAAGCACCGGCUAACUACGUG
rnacentral:rRNA from 1 species